AAUCCAUGCAUUGGACACUUUCAUAUCAACUUCUUAAAAUGUUCUCAUGCUUCAUAUAAAUUUUUGUCUUCCAAGUGCUUGAAAGAGGUGAUAUCAUUUCUCAACUU